CUGUGAAAAAAAAAGCAUGGAUUAUUAAUAGAAAACAAUUUGAAAUAAUUAGUAUAAAUGUUUAAUGCAUAAGAAAUUACUUACAUGAAGGAACUCAGUCAACUCAUCCCCAGGCCAAACAUAAACGUCAGCAAAGACUUCGAUCUCCAUAAAUUUUGAACCCUCUUAAAAUCGAAAAAAAUAAGGAAAAUGUUGGUAUGAAAAAAA
rnacentral:lncRNA from 1 species